rnacentral:rRNA from 1 species
AGAGUUUGAUCCUGGCUCAGAUUGAACGCUGGCGGCAUGCCUUACACAUGCAAGUCGAACGGGCGACCCUGGUGGCGAGUGGCGAACGGGUGAGUAAAGCAUCGGAACGUGCCCUGAAGUGGGGGAUAACGUAGCGAAAGUUACGCUAAUACCGCAUAUUCUGUGAGCAGGAAAGCAGGGGAUCGCAAGACCUUGUGCUUUAGGAGCGGCCGAUGUCGGAUUAGCUAGUUGGUAGGGUAAAGGCCUACCAAGGCAACGAUCCGUAGCGGGUCUGAGAGGAUGAUCCGCCACACUGGGACUGAGACACGGCCCAGACUCCUACGGGAGGCAGCAGUGGGGAAUUUUGGACAAUGGGCGCAAGCCUGAUCCAGCCAUGCCGCGUGAGUGAAGAAGGCCUUCGGGUUGUAAAGCUCUUUCGGUGGGGAAGAUAAUGACGGUACCCGCAUAAGAAGCACCGGCUAACUACGUGCCAGCAGCCGCGGUAAUACGUAGGGUGCGAGCGUUAAUCGGAAUUACUGGGCGUAAAGCGUGCGCAGGCGGUUGUGUAAGUCAGAUGUGAAAUCCCCGGGCUUAACCUGGUAACUGCAUUUGAGACUGCACGGCUAGAGUGUGGCAGAGGGGGGUGGAAUUCCACGCGUAGCAGUGAAAUGCGUAGAGAUGUGGAGGAACACCGGUGGCGAAGGCAGCCCCCUGGGCCAAUACUGACGC